GAGUUUGAUUCUGGCUCAGAUUGAACGCUGGCGGCAUGCCUAACACAUGCAAGUCGAACGGUAACGCGAAGAGCUUGCUCUUUGGCGACGAGUGGCGGACGGGUGAGUAAUACUUAGGAAUCUGCCCAGUAGUGGGGGACAACUCGGGGAAACUCGAGCUAAUACCGCAUACGCCCUAUGGGGGAAAGCGGGGGAUCUUCGGACCUCGCGCUAUUGGAUGAGCCUAAGUCGGAUUAGCUUGUUGGUGAGGUAAAAGCUCACCAAGGCGACGAUCCGUAGCUGGUCUGAGAGGACGAUCAGCCACACUGGGACUGAGACACGGCCCAGACUCCUACGGGAGGCAGCAGUGGGGAAUAUUGGACAAUGGGCGAAAGCCUGAUCCAGCAAUGCCGCGUGUGUGAAGAAGGCCUGCGGGUUGUAAAGCACUUUCAGUAGAGAAGAAAAGCUCAAGGUUAAUAACCGUGAGUCUUGACGUAACCUACAGAAGAAGCACCGGCUAACUCCGUGCCAGCAGCCGCGGUAAUACGGAGGGUGCAAG
rnacentral:rRNA from 1 species